rnacentral:rRNA from 1 species
CCUACGGGGUGCAGCAGUGGGGAAUAUUGGGCAAUGGGCGAAAGCCUGACCCAGCAAUGCCGCGUGAAUGAAGAAGGCUUUAGGAUUGUAAACUUCUGUUCUCUGGGAAGAAAAAAGUGACGGUACCAGACGAGGAAGCCCCGGCUAACUACGUGCCAGCAGCCGCGGUAAUACGUAGGGGGCGAGCGUUGUCCGGAUUUAUUGGGCGUAAAGAGAGCGUAGGCGGGACUGCAAGUCUGAUGUGAAAAACCUGGGCUUAACUUAGAGGUUGCAUGGGAAACUGUAUAGCUUGAGUGCAGGAGAGGCAAGCGGAAUUCCGAGUGUAGCGGUGAAAUGCGUAGAUAUAAGGAGGAACACCAGUGGCGAAGGCGGCUUGCUGGACUGAAACUGACGCUGAGGCUCGAAAGCGUGGGGAGCAAACAGGAUUAGAUACCCUGGUAGUC